rnacentral:rRNA from 1 species
UACGUAGGGGGGAAGCGUUGUCCGGAUUUAUUGGGCGUAAAGAGCGUGUAGGCGGCUUCACAGGUCCGCUGUGAAAACUCGAGGCUCAACCUCGAGCUGUCGGUGGAAACCGUGUGGCUAGAGUCCGGAAGAGGAGAGUGGAAUUCCCGGUGUAGCGGUGAAAUGCGCAGAUAUCGGGAAGAACACCCGUGGCGAAGGCGGCUCUCUGGGACGGUACUGACGCUGAGACGCGAAAGCGUGGGGAGCGAACAGG